rnacentral:rRNA from 1 species
ACGAACGCUGGCGGCAUGCCUAACACAUGCAAGUCGAACGAGACCUUCGGGUCUAGUGGCGCACGGGGUGCGUAACGCGUGGGAAUCUGCCCUCAGGUACGGAAUAACUCAGGGAAACUUGAGCUAUACCGUAUAAUGACUUCGGUCCAAAGAUUUAUCGCCUUGAGGAUGAGCCCGCGUCGGAUUAGCUAGUUGGUGAGGUAAAAGCUUCACCAAGGCGACGAUUCCGUAGCUGGUCUGAGAGGAUGAUGCAGCCACACUGGGACUGAGACACGGCCCAGACUCCUACGGGAGGCAGCAGUGGGGAAUAUUGGACAAUGGGCGAAAGCCUGAUCCAGCAAUGCCGCGUGAGUGAUGAAGGCCUUAGGGUUGUAAAGCUCUUUUACCCGGGAUGAUAAUGACAGUACCGGGAGAAUAAGCCCCGGCUAACUCCGUGCCAGCAGCCGCGGUAAUACGGAGGGGGCUAGCGAUUGUUCGGAAUUACUGGGCCGUAAAGGGUUCGUAGGCGGUUGGUGGGCAAGUCGGAAGUAAAUCUCCAGGCUCAACUUGGUAGGCUGCUCCCGAAACUGCCGCGCUUAGAGUGCGAGAGAGGCCAGUGGAAUUGCAGGUGUAGCGGAUGAAAUGCGUAGAUAUCUGCAGGAACACCCGUGGCGAAGGCGGCUGGCUGGAUCGCAACUGACGCUAGAGGAACGAAAGCUAGGGGAGCAAACAGGAUUAGAUACCCUGGUAGUCCUAGCCCUAAACGAUCAGGACUUGGGGUGCAUCCCGACGGGGUGCGUCCCGUAGCUAACUGCGUUAAGUCCUGCUCGCCUGGGGAAGUACGGUCGCAAGACUGAAACUCAAAGGAAUUGACGGGGGCCCGCACAAGCGGUGUGAACAUGUGGUUCAAUUCGACGCAACGCGAGAGAACCUUACCUGGGCUUGAACUGCCACUGACCAGCGUGUGGAAACAUCGGCCCCUUCCCGCAAGGGUACACGUGGCUAGCAGGUGCUGCAUGGCUGUCGUCAGCUCGUGAUCGUGAUAGGUGUUGGGUUAAGUCCCCGCAAUCGAGCGCAACCCUUGUCCCUAGUUACCAGCGGGUUAUGCCGGGCACUCUAGGGAGACUGCCGGUGUCAAACCGGAGGAAGGUGGGGACGACGUCAAGUCAUCAUGGCCCUUACGUCCAGGGCGACACACGUGCUACAAUGGCCGGUACAGAGCGUCGCCAACUCGCAAGAGUGCGCCAAUCGACCAAAUAGCCGGUCUAAGUUCGGAUGUGGUCUGCAACUCGACCACAUGAAGCUGGAAUCGCUAGUAAUCGUGGAUCAGCCACGCCACGGUGAAUACGUUCCCGGGCCUUGUACACACCGCCCGUCACGCCAUGGAAGCUGGGGGGACCUAAAGUCGGUGAGCUAACCGCAAGGGGGCAGCCGCCAAAGGUCAAUUCAGUGACUGGGGCG